rnacentral:rRNA from 1 species
GAUGAACGCUGGCGGCGUGCUUAACUCAUGCAAGUCGAACGGUGAACACGGAGCUUGCUCUGUGGGAUCAGUGGCGAACGGGUGAGUAACACGUGAGCAACCUGCCCCUGACUCUGGGAUAAGCGCUGGAAACGGCGUCUAAUACUGGAUAUGUGACGUGACCGCAUGGUCUGCGUUUGGAAAGAUUUUUCGGUUGGGGAUGGGCUCGCGGCCUAUCAGCUUGUUGGUGAGGUAAUGGCUCACCAAGGCGUCGACGGGUAGCCGGCCUGAGAGGGUGACCGGCCACACUGGGACUGAGACACGGCCCAGACUCCUACGGGAGGCAGCAGUGGGGAAUAUUGCACAAUGGGCGCAAGCCUGAUGCAGCAACGCCGCGUGAGGGAUGACGGCCUUCGGGUUGUAAACCUCUUUUAGCAGGGAAGAAGCGAAAGUGACGGUACCUGCAGAAAAAGCGCCGGCUAACUACGUG